GACGAACGCUGGCGGCGUGCUUAACACAUGCAAGUCGAACGGAAAGGCCCUGCUUUUGUGGGGUGCUCGAGUGGCGAACGGGUGAGUAACACGUGAGUAACCUGCCCUUGACUUUGGGAUAACUUCAGGAAACUGGGGCUAAUACCGGAUAGGAGCUCCUGCUGCAUGGUGGGGGUUGGAAAGUUUCGGCGGUUGGGGAUGGACUCGCGGCUUAUCAGCUUGUUGGUGGGGUAGUGGCUUACCAAGGCUUUGACGGGUAGCCGGCCUGAGAGGGUGACCGGCCACAUUGGGACUGAGAAACGGCCCAGACUCCUACGGGAGGCAGCAGUGGGGAAUAUUGCACAAUGGGCGGAAGCCUGAUGCAGCAACGCCGCGUGCGGGAUGACGGCCUUCGGGUUGUAAACCGCUUUCGCCUGUGACGAAGCGUGAGCGACGGUAAUGGGUAAAGAAGCACCGGCUAACUACGUG
rnacentral:rRNA from 1 species